rnacentral:piRNA from 1 species
UGAUGGUCUCUCACUAAUCCAACAGCUC